GGUGUUGGAGAGGGUCCAGAAGAGGAUUACGAGAAUGAUCACAGGGAUGAGUGACAAUAGACAAU